GAUGAAGAACGUAGUGAAAUGCGAUAAGUAAUGUGAAUUGCAGAAUUCAGUGAAUCAUCGAAUCUUUGAACGCACAUUGCGCCCGUCAGUAUUCUGGCGGGCAUGCCUGUUCGAGCGUCAUUACGCCCCUCAAGUCCCCUGUGGACUUGGUGUUGGGGAUCGGCGAGGCUGGUUUUCCAGCACAGCCGUCCCUUAAAUUAAUUGGCGGUCUCGCCGUGGCCCUCCUCUGCGCAGUAGUAAAACACUCGCAACAGGAGCCCGGCGCGGUCCACUGCCGUAAAACCCCCCAACUUUUUAUAGUUGACCUCGAAUCAGGUAGGACUACCCGCUGAACUUAAGCAUAUCAAUAAGCGGAGA
rnacentral:misc_RNA from 1 species